AUGAACGCUAGCGGCAGGCCUAACACAUGCAAGUCGAGGGGGAAGUUACUUUCGGGUAACUGAGACCGGCGUACGGGUGCGUAACGCGUAUACAAUCUGCCUUUCACUGGGGGAUAGCCCGAAGAAAUUUGGAUUAAUACCCCAUAGUAUAGUAGUGUGGCAUCACACAACUAUUAAAGCUUAGGUGGUGAAAGAUGAGUAUGCGUUCUAUUAGCUAGUUGGAGAGGUAACGGCUCCCCAAGGCUAUGAUAGAUAGGGGUUCUGAGAGGGAUGUCCCCCACACUGGUACUGAGAUACGGACCAGACUCCUACGGGAGGCAGCAGUGAGGAAUAUUGGACAAUGGUCGGAAGACUGAUCCAGCCAUGCCGCGUGCAGGAUGAAGGUCUUAUGGAUUGUAAACUGCUUUUGUAAGGGAAGAAUAAGGACUACGUGUAGUUUGAUGACGGUACCUUAUGAAUAAGCAUCGGCUAACUCCGUG
rnacentral:rRNA from 1 species